CCAAUAGCGUAUAUUAAAGUUGUUGCAGUUAAAAAGCUCGUAGUUGAAUUUCGGGAUUGACGUGAUGGUCGUGCCUUACGGGGUAUGAACUGUCACAGUUGAUUUCUCACCUUCUGGAGAAGCUCGAUGUCCUUAAUUGGGUGUCUUGCGGAACCAGGACCUUUACCUUGAAAAAAUUAGAGUGUUUAAAGCAGGCAUUUUUGCUCGAAU
rnacentral:rRNA from 1 species